UACGUAGGGUGCAAGCGUUGUCCGGAUUUAUUGGGCGUAAAGAGCUCGUAGGCGGUUUGAUUAGUCGGGUGUGAAACCUCCAGGCUUAACCUGGAGCCGCCACUCGAUACUGUCAUGACUAGAAUUCGGUAGGGGACCACGGAAUUCCUGGUGUGAGCGGUGAAAUGCGCAGAUAUCAGGAGGAACACCAGCAGCGAAGGCGGUGGUCUGGGCCGACAUUGACGCUGAGGAGCGAAAGCGUGGGGAGCGAACAGG
rnacentral:rRNA from 1 species